CAGUAGCCGCGGGAACACGAAGGGGGCUAGCGUUGCUCGGAAUGACUGGGCGUAAAGGGCGCGUAGGCGGAUCACGCAGUCAGAUGUGAAAUUCCUGGGCUUAACCUGGGGGCUGCAUUUGAGACGCGUGGUCUAGAGUGUGAAAGAGGGUCGUGGAAUUCCCAGUGUAGAGGUGAAAUUCGUAGAUAUUGGGAAGAACACCGGUGGCGAAGGCGGCGACCUGGUUCAUAACUGACGCUGAGGCGCGAAAGCGUGGGGAGCGAACAGGAUUAGAUACCCCCGUAGUCCCUGUCUCUUAUAC
rnacentral:rRNA from 1 species